AAGAAGGUAAAGAGCCCCCCUAUCUUAUAGGCUUAGUUUGAAAAUUAUUUAAAAACUUGCUUCUGCUAAGGUUCAAAGUCCUAUGACUCAUGGACUUUGAUUCAUCAUGGUUCAUUUAGCCCCACAGCUCUUGAGUCUUUCUUUCACUUUCCCCUCUGCUGUGUUCUCCCUGCCUUCUCCCAUCUUCCCUUCUCUUCAAGGUUCUUUGCCCUCCAGAGACCUAAGGACGUGCACAUGCCCAGAACCUAUAUAUCCCCAAAAAGAAACCUAGACUUUUUCUCACAAGUCCAGACCAAUUCUCUCAAACUCAUCUGGAAAGACCAAAGAUUGAAGUGGGAAAAAAUUGAGAACUGCAACUGGAGUUGUGACAGAGCUGAACUCAACUACCCAGCCUCCAGAGGAAAUCUUUACCUUCAAAAGCAGAGCUGUUGGAAGGAGAUGAGUCUACAGUACAAUACAGUGGGCUACCCUCAGGAAACUAGCUGGGUGCCUCCGGGAUUCCCCGAGUCUGGUGCCUGGCUCACCGGUUCUCCAUGGUCCCGCCGACGCCCUCUCGAUGAGCCGGCCCUUCUCAGCUCGUUUCUGCUCGGAGGAGUUGAACUGCCGUCGCCGGGGCUGGUCCGCACGGUUAGUGCCUUCUGUGUUGAGUGCUGGCUUAUAUCCCCGUCCCGGGAGUCCCCAGCCAGUGGCAGCCGAGCACACAGGCCCGCCCCAUCUCCAUGGCGACAAAUCCUUUUUCAAUAAUCGCCGAGGCUGGGCUGUAAACCUAAUCUGAGUUCUUCGGAGCGCAGGAUCCUUUCCCACGUCCCACACACUACUCCAGACCCGCGGGUGGAGGGGGUGGUAAGGAGGGCAUCCGGCAUUUCUUUCCUGAACCCAUUCCCGUCCGCAGAUCCGGUUUUCAGGUUUUGACCUGCAAAGAGUACAGACCCAGGAGCUAUGUGUGUGUGCAUCUGCUGCACUUGUGAGCACUGGUACACAGCACGUACCUAAUGGUCAAAAAUAUAAAAUGUCUAGUAAGUGAGUAUUAUAUCUCUCUGGGUCACGUUAACCUAUACAUAAAAGGCCAAAGUGAGAGGAGACAAACAAGUGUUUGAAACCCAAAAGAAGAGAUAUUCAGGAAGCACUGAACAAGGAGAAAUCCAAAUAGGAGGUGCUGAUUUUCACACAGUACUUACUUUUUUAUCAGAGGGAUUCCCCUAUAACCCAGCUUCACAAAGAUAUUUUGAAAUCAAAAGGAAUGUAGCACAAUUUAAUGUUCAAUUAGCUUGCAUUGUAUACAGUAAAUGUUGUCUAUUGCUGUGUUUCAUUUAAAAAUUUUAAAUAACCCACGGUACCUCUGUGAAUUUGACUCUUGGCACAGAAUUUGGGAAGUAUGACCCUAUCUCUCCAUGCUACCUGGUUAUCUUGAAUCUGUGCAGUGUAAAUAAGUGGACUCUGUAAUCAAACUAUCUGUGUAUGAAUUCUAUCUCCACCCCUUACUUGCCAGCUGUGUGAACCAAGGCAAGUCAAUUUCUCACUAUGCCUCAGUUUUCUCAGUUGUAAAAUUUUGAUAAUAAUAGGUUUUACUGUUGUUUCAAGGAUUAUGCUAAAUGCUUGUUAAGUAUUUAGAUAAAUUCCUGGAAUUACAGUAAACAUACAGUAAAUUUUGGCUCUUAUUAUCAUUCCCCAUUGUCCUUUUUACUUUUUGAUUUCUCUAGAUCCACCUAACCAUGAAUUGGAUCAGAAGAAAAACUAGAGCCCAUCAACACCGUUUCUUAUCCUGUACUGAUUAUAGCCCAUUACCGCCUUAGUACCAUUUCUUCUAUU